AUUGAACGCUGGCGGCAGGCCUAACACCUGCACGUCGAACGAGUGGCGGACGGGUGAGUAAUGUCUGGGAAACUGCCCGAUGGAGGGGGAUAACUACUGGAAACAGUAGCUAAUACCGCAUACCAUCGGAUGUGCCCAGAUGGGAUUAGCUAGUAGGUGGGGUAACGGAUCACCUAGGCGACGAUCCCUAGCUGGUCUGAGAGGAUGACCAGCCACAGUGGAACUGAGAGACGGUCCAGACUCCUACGAGAGGCAGCAGUGGGGAAUAUUGCACAAUGGGCGAGAGCCUGAGGCAGCCAGGCCGCGUGUAUGAAGAAGGCCUUCGGGUUGUAAAGUACUUUCAGCGAGGAGGCGUUACUCGCAGAAGAAGCACCGGCUAACUCCGUGCCAGCAGCCGCGGUAAUAC
rnacentral:rRNA from 1 species